GUACUGCUGAGGAGUCCUACACUAGGACGAAACGGUCGUCCAGUGC
rnacentral:hammerhead_ribozyme from 1 species